GGGUACCAUUGCUAGAUGGUCACUUCGAUUGGUACAAGAAUUUGUUCCUGUGCUACCGGCUUAGGUUCGGACCUAUGAGGUCACACACAUUAGAGUUCAUGAUCCGAUCGGAUGGUUGAUCAACGAUUAAGAAUCGUUCUAGGGUUAAAUGAUCAAUACGAUUGACAUUUAACCCAGUGCAAGUAUUCCAAGAGGAUCGAUUAGCAAUUCGAUUGCUAAUUGGCUUAAUUUGAUUAAGCCAAUGAGCUGAGAUUAAGUCUAAUUAAAUAUGAUUUAAUUAGAUUUAUUUUGGGCUUGAUUGGAUCAAGUCCAAUUGGUUUAUUGGAUAAGUCAAGUGCAAGGAAAAACUAGUCCU
rnacentral:lncRNA from 1 species